rnacentral:sRNA from 1 species
AGGCACGUGCUGCCACACCUGGCUGAUAUUUCAAAUAUUUUUUAAUAUAGUAGUUCUCACUUUGCGUAGGACUAUGUUAACUCAACUUGAGCUUAUUGGAGCUGUGUCUUUGCUUUAUUUGACUUUUGGUUACACAGUACCCUGCAUAGCAAGGAUUGCCUAUAUAAAUUUUAAUGAAAGCUAAUUCCUAAAUAUUACUAUUAUUUUACGCAUGUUUGAUUUGUGAACCAUAUUUAAUAAUUUCUCAUUUUGAAGCCUUUUUUUUUUUGAGACAGAGCUUUGCUCUGUCGCCCAGUCUGGAGUGCAGUGGUGUGAUCUCCACCUCCCGGAUUCAAGUGAUUGUUUUGCCUCAGCCUCCUGAGUAGAUGGGAUUAUAGGCCUGCACCACCAUGCCCAGCUAGUUUUUGUAUUUUUAGUAGAGACGGGGUUUAACCAUGUUGGCCAGGAUAUUCCAAACUCCUGGCCUCAAGUGAUCUGCCCGCCCUGGCCUCCCAAAGUGCUGGGAUUACAGGCGUGAGCCACCUUGUCCGGCCUUCAUUUUGAAACUUCUUGAGCAUGUUCCUAAGCGUGUAAAUUUGUGGCUGCUGCUUUCUCUGGAGGUACAGUUUUUAUAACAUGAUGCAAGAUGGAUCACAGAAAAGCUAAUGUAGCAGUUUGUAUUACUCUAUAAUGUGAAGCAGCAUCUUGCAAAAUGGUGAUUUUGUGUGUUUAAAAUUUUUAAAAAAUAAUUAUAUAUAUCAUUAGGAAUUCUUUUCUCUCUGACAUAUUUUCAUUUUUUAAGUAAUCAACAAGAUGCCACGUCAGUAGCAACUGAGUCUUCAGAAUCAAGCACUUCAGAUUUGCCUUCAUUCGAAGUUGGAAUUAGAGCAUUGUGUGAGGUGAAUAAUGCUGAGGGUAGUUGUAUAGAAGAAAGAAAUGUUGACCUAAAAAAUAAUUCACUGGAAAUUGAUCAAACAGAAAAUGUUAAACCAAUGUUGAGAGGUCGCUUCCAGAGACCUAAACCCAAUUUGUCAAGGGCUGGGAAGAAAUCAGUUCUUUCACAAGGCAAAACAGAGGCAGAGAGCAAGAAUUCACAUUCAAAAACUUCAGUUGAAAAGAACCACGUGGAAAAAGAUAAAAUGAAUACAUUGGACAUUUUGAGAAUGGAGACUACAGAGAGAGAGAAUCCAGAAGCUGAAACUUUAUCUAUUUUGGGUGAAAAAAAUUGUCUGCAGGAAGGGAGUCAACUAAAGGCUUUAAGACCUGCACAAGUGAGGGGCCGAUUGCAAAAGCCAAAGCCAAAUGUAGGUAAAGCUGCUGAAAGAAAAGAAAUUCUCAUAUCACAGGAAGAAAUUGGGGCCAAUGUAGAGAAGAAUGAAAAUGAAUCCUGUGCUGAUAGAGAUACUCCUCAACACAUGGAAGAUCAAUCACAUAAAGAUUUUGAAGAGGAAGAUGUCAUAUUACAGCCUGAGAAAAAUGAUUCUUUUCAAAAUAUGCAGCCAGAUGAGCCCAAGGUUCUUAAUGAAUGUCUACGCGUUCAAGAGAAUAAUAAGGCAAAUAAACUUAACCAAGUCCCAAUUCUAAGGACUCGAUUUCAGAAACCAAAGCCAAAUAUAGGAAGAGGAACUGGAAGGAGAGAAAUUUCCUCAAAGGAAGAGGUACUAGAGAAGAUUCUUGUCUCUGGGGAAAUGGCGGCAGCAUUGAGAGAAACUGUAAGACUAGACACCUCACCAAAGGAGAUGGUACCAGCAGAGAUUAAUACUAAAGAAAUGCAGUCAGAUUUAAAAGAAACUGGAAGAAGAGCCAUUUCUCCCAGGGAGAAGAUUCUAGAUGUGAUUGAUGUCACCAUGGAAAUGGAGACAGGUUUGAAAGCAACGGGAAGAGAGAUUUGUCUAAGGGAGAAGACGCCAGAGGUGAUUGAUGCCACUGAGGAAAUAGACAAAGAUUUGGAAGAAACUGGAAGAAGAGAAAUACCCCCACAGAAAAAUGGCCCAGAGGAGGUUAAGCCUCUAGGUGAAAUGGAGACAGAUUUGAAAGCAACUGGAAAUGAGAGUUCCCCAAGGGAGAAGACACCAGAGGUGACUGAUGCCACUGAGGAAAUAGACAAAAAUUUGGAAGAAACUGAAAGAAGAAAAAUAUCCCCAAGGGAAAAUGGCCCAGAGGAGGUCAAGCCUGUAGAUGAAAUGGAGACAGACUUGAAAGCAACUGGAAGAGAGAGUUCCCCAAGGGAGAAGACACCAGAGGUGAUUGAUGCUGCUGAGGUAAUAGAGAUAGAUUUGGAAGAAACUGAAAGAGAAAUAUCGCCACAGGAAAAUGGCCCAGAGGAGGUCAAGCCUGUAGGUAAAAUGGAGACAGAUUUGAAAGAAAUUAGAGAAGAAAUUUCCCAAAGGGAAAAGGUGCUAGCAGAGAUCAGUGCUAUAAGGGAAAAGGAGAUUGAUUUGAAAGAAACUGGAAAAAGAGACAUUCCCAUGAUGGAGAAAGUAUCAGGAAAGAUGGCUGUUGUUGAAGAAAUGGAGGCAGAUUUGAAAGAAACUGGAAGAGAAAAUUUUAGAGAGAGAGGAUCUGAAGAGAUCUGUGUUACUGAGGAAAAGGUGGCAGAAUUGAAAAAAACUGGAAAAACAGACAUUUCUCCAAGGGAAAACGAGCUAGAGGAGACCAGUACCUCAAGACAAACUGACACACAUUUAAUGCAGAGCAGUAGCAAUGACUGCAGUGCUAUGCCUUCACUAGAUAUUCAAGUAUGUAUUUUUCUGUCCUUUAAAAGGUUUUUGAAUGCUUUUUUCAGAGGAAAUAAAUAAUUCCAUGAUUAUUUUGUCCUUAAGUCCAAUAACACUUAAAAAUCUCUAAAAGUCUAAAGUCUUUUGUAGCCCUAAGUUUCUGUGUUUCAGCACCUUGAAGAAACUGUAUGUUCUUUUUUAAAAAGAUAACGUAGGCUG